rnacentral:rRNA from 1 species
AGUUGGGGCACGUCUAGCGAGACUGCCGGUAAUAAACCGGAGGAAGGUGGGGAUGACGUCAAAUCAUCAUGCCCCUUAUGACCUGGGCUACACACGUGCUACAAUGGUUGGUACAACGAGUUGCGAGUCGGUGACGGCGAGCUAAUCUCUUAAAGCCAAUCUCAGUUCGGAUUGUAGGCUGCAACUCGCCUACAUGAAGUCGGAAUCGCUAGUAAUCGCGGAUCAGCACGCCGCGGUGAAUACGUUCCCGGGCCUU